UAGCGCCAAGGCUGCUCUGGCGGUCGCCGCAGUAACCCCGGCCACAACAAGCAGCGGAGAACUCGCAGCCUUGCGUCCGGAACCCGAAUCCGCACCCGGCAACCGGAGCAGACCAUUGUGGAGCCGGCUGCGGGGGGGAGCUGGGGGAUGCGGGCGCUCACAGGCCCACUCUGCCCACCCAGCCCCCUUGUUACACUACAUCCUGAGACAUGUUUUGAGCGCCUGCUGUGUCUCAAGCCCUGUCCUAGGCACUGGAGAUGAGAUGAAGAAACGAUGAGUAGAGGCCUUGCUUACGUUUAUCCUGCAACUCAUGAUGAGGCUUACUCUGCAACUCCAGUGCUCGGCUUUUUACACAACAGAGUCUCUGUUGCCCAGGCUGGAGUACAGUCGCACGAUCUUGGCUCACUGCAACCUCUGCCUCUCAGGUUCGAGUGAUUCUUCUGCCUCAGCCUCCCAAGUUGCUGGGAUUACAGAAACGGGUAUGCAGGAGAUUAGAAGCCAGUGGGCAUGAGCGUGGCUGCCACCAGGUGAAUGCCUGUGCCCUGGCGUCCUGGGGCCCAGAGGACCGGGAGCUUCCAUCAAGAGGCUGCCUCCCAGCACCAAGGCCAGAGAGUGGCCAGGGGAGGCUAAGUACAGGGAUUUCUCAGAAUGGUGGAAGGAGCUCAGCCCAGCCUUGCCCAAGAUGUAUUGCAGGGGAAUCUGGACAUUUUAGCCAUACCAAGAAUCAUUAGAAGAUGCAAGCUGGAAAAAAGAAGGUCCCAGUUUUGGUUUUGAACCCUUCAUGUUGCAGCAAAUGUGAAUCUCCUACAGAUGGGUUUGGGGACUUACCUGUUCAAAUAGCAGCCCGGUGUCCUCUGUGGGUGGGGGGAGGUUUGUCUGUCCUUUCAUUCUAGUAAAUCCACCAUCCUCUGCACGAGAGCCAGGAGAAUCCACAUCACUUCAAAAGAGCCCCCAAAUCCUUACUACGUACUACAGCCUCCUUUCGAAUGUUCCUGGUUGAGAGGGAGAUCAAUUGCAUUAUUUACAAGUCAAAAAAUUUUGUAUCAAACUUCCUAUGAGCUUGGGCACUCAUGGCCUAUGGAGGCCCACCCAGACGCAGCCCCGCCAUCAUGCUUUUUCGUUGUUUUGUGGAUGUACCCAGGGCUAUUUACACACUCUUUCAUUAAAAGGCUUAUUUUUAUAUUUAAAAUGUUCUAAUCUUGGAGUGAAUUUUACUAAAUGCUAGUGUCCAAUCUGUUCCCCAACUGAAGUUAUCAGAGACAGAAUCCCUUUUAUAUUCAAGUGGAAAUUACUCAUUUUCUCUUGGGUUUUCAAUGUAUCGUCUGACUGUGAGGCUGGCAUUAUUUUCUCUGGGUUUGAAAGCUUCCUGAGAUGUCCUGUUUGUAAGCUCCUGUCCGCAUCACGUUAUCUGCAGGGAAUGUGCUCCCUCCAGGGAGUGUCCUCGGCACUGAUGUGGGAAGAGCCCCCUCUAUAAGUCAUCAUGGCAUUCGGUCAUGGGAGAGUUCCAUACGGGAAAGAUGGAGCAGAGGAAGACAAGGUGUUGAAACCAGUACAGCACCACCUGGGAUAUGGAUGAUCCAGAAUUACAGGACACGUCUUCAUUAAGCCUGGGUAAGAUCCCAGAGCUAUGACUCGAUCAAAAAAUGCCAGUUCGUGCCAAACAACCAAAGCCGGGAAAGAGGGAGAAGGUAUUGGCGUUUGUAGCCUUACGAAAGAUCUUUAUGAAGAGCUUUAGUUUGUUCUUCUCUUUUCCAAAAUGA
rnacentral:lncRNA from 1 species